rnacentral:ncRNA from 1 species
ACAAAAACAAAGAAAAAGAGAAGUACAUUUAAAACUAAUUUAAAGAGAAUAGGAGUCAAAGGCUGUAAGCUCCUAAAAUAAAGAUAAAUGGAAAGUAGCUUUGGAGUUGAUAAUCUGAAAAUAAAAUUAAGAUUAUACGUAAUACUGCGUUAAAGUAGAAUGAGAAAUUAUCUAUAAAAAAGGAAAAAAUAGAUAAUAAUUAAGGUGGUACCGUGAGAUAAAAACUCGCCCUUAUG